GGCCGAGGCACGUAAGGGCGUACGGUGGAUGGCUUGGCAGUGAGGAGCCGAUGAAGGACGUAGCAGCCUGCGAUAAGCUUCGGGGAGGUGGCAAGCAACCUGUGAUCCGAAGGUCUCCGAAUGGGGAAACCUAUGUCGAUGAAGUCGACAUGCCAUGUUCUGAAUACAUAGGAACAUGGAGGGCACCUGGGGAAGUGAAACAUCUCAGUACCCAGAGGAAAAGAGAAUAAUGUAUACGCUGACUACUUAUCUCUCGUGUUGUCUACGACAACGCGGUGAGAUAAGAAGUCAGCUCGAUUCCGUCAGUAGCGGCGAGCGAACGCGGACGAGCCUAAACUUUUUGCGUGGAUCCGUUACACCGAGUUGGACGCAAGUUUGACCGCGGAUGACGGUGAUGGGCUUGGGCCGACGCACAGAAAGUGUUGUGGACGGGACGAUGGGGUCCCCAAGAACCCCGACGAUGAGCGCAGAUUCUUAGCUGAAUCCACUGGAAAGUGGAACCAAAGACGGUGAUAGUCCGGUAGGCGAAAAGAUUUCUGCCCGUCGGUGUCCCUGAUCCAAAGUACUACGGGGCUCGAGAAACCCCGUGGGAAGCAGCCACGACGAUGUGGCAAGGCUAAAUACUCCUCCUGACCGAUAGUGAACAAGUACAGUGAUGGAAAGCUGAAAAGCAGCCCGGGAGGGCGAUGAAAUAGUAUCUGAAACCGUACGCUUACAAGGAGCUGGAGCGGGCGCAAGUCCGUCACAGCGUUCCUAUUGAAGAAUGAGCCGACGAGUUUGUGCAUGUCGCUCGGUUAAGUCCCUGAGGGGACGAAGCCACAGCGAAAGCGAGUCUGAUAAGGGCGCCUCAUGUGGCAUGCACAAGACCCGAAACCCGGUGAUCUAUCCAUGGCCAGGAUGAAGUCCCGCGAAAGCGGGAUGGAGGUCCGAACCCACGAGCCGUACAACACUCGGGGAUGAGUUGUGGAUAGCGGAGAAAUUCCAAUCGAACUGGGUGAUAGCUGGUUCUCCCUGAAAUAGAUUUUGGUCUAGCGCUGUUUCAUAGCACAACGGGGGUAGAGCACUGAAUGGGGGCAGGGGAGCAAUCCUACUGUCCCUAACCAAACUCCGAAUACCGUUGUGUGUUCACAGCAGUCAGUCCUUGGGGGCUAAGCUCCAACGGACAAAAGGGAAACAGCCCUGAUCGCAGACUAAGGUCCCUAAAUCCAUGCUCAGUGUGAAAGGCGGUGGAGCGGCUUAAACAACCAGGAGGUUGGCUUAGAAGCAGCCAUCCUUUAAAGAAAGCGUAACAGCUCACUGGUCAAGCUGCCCUGCGCCGAAAACUUACCGGGGCUUAAGCAUGGUACCGAAGUCGCGGGAUAUGAGUGUCCUUCGGGACGCUGUAUCGGUAAGGGAGCAUUCGUAUCUGCGCUGAAGCGGAAGGCGUGAGCCACCGUGGAGCGGUACGAAGUGAGAAUGUCGGCAUAAGUAGCAAAAAGAACGGUGAGAAUCCGUUCCACCAUAAACCCAAGGUUUCCAGGGCAACGCGAAUCGUCCCUGGGUUAGUCGGUCCUAAGGCGAGGCCGAAAGGCGUAGUCGAUGGACAGCAGGUUAAUAUUCCUGCACCACCGUGUGGUUUCGAUGGAGUGACACGUCCUUGAACUUUCCGAGAUUCCUGGAAUGAAUCUUCGGGCACCCAGGGGUGUUGCGUCGGCAAAUCCGCGCAGCACAAGCCUCGGGGUGAUCGUGAGCCUGCCGCAAGGCGGGCAAGGGAAGGGGAUGGGGGGUCGAGAAAACCUCCUAGAGUCAACCGCAUGGUGACCGUACCGGAAACCGACACAGGUGGGUGGGCAUACGUGUGCCAAGGUGUACGAGAGAACCCGCGUUUAGGAACUCGGCAAUAUAACGGCCGUAACUUCGGGAUAAGGCCUGGCCGCAGCAAUGCGGCCCGCAGCGAAAGACGCAAACCGACUGUUUACCAAAAACACAGCUCUCUGCUAAACCGCAAGGUGAUGUAUAGAGAGUGAUGCCUGGCCAGUGUCAGAACGUUAAGCGGAGAGGUCAUGGACUUCGGUCCGGCAGCCUUGAAGCCAAGCGCUGAUGAACGCCGGCGAUAACUAUAAUCGUCCUAAGGUAGCGAAAUUCCUUGUCGGGUGAACAAACGUUCCUCCUGGUCGGAGAGAACUUGCCCGAAUCCCGCCGCGAGGCGGGGACAGCAAACUGACUCAUAACGGUGAAUCCCACACCCGCGAGACGAUCGUGGACGGGAAAUACCGUGGGAAUCCAUGUAUGAUCAAUAAUAUAUGGAACCCGUAACGACUGACCCGAAAGGGGAGAGCCGAAGUCUCUCGGCUAACACGUCAGCUCUUGCGACAGAAAGACGACCCACGGAAAUCACGGAAGCAUAUGUGACCGGAUUCGUUGAUGGUGAAGGAAGUUUCCCGGUCUCGUUCAAUCGACGGCCGUCACUUGCGACCGGACUCGAAGUCCGUCCAAGUUUCUCGGUCAGUCAGCAUGAACGAAAUCUGGAGAUCCUUCAAAAAAUCUUAACCUUCUUCAGGUGCGGAAACAUUCGUUUCGAUCGGCAUGAUCAAACCUACAAAUACGAGGUCAGGAGCCUCGAAGAUUUAUGGGAAUCGAUCAUUCCGCACUUCAAACGGACGCCACUGCAAACAUCGAAGGCGAAAGAUUUUGAGCGGUUUGUCGAAGUCUGCUCGCUCAUGCGAGAAGAUCGACACCGUUCCAGCGAAGGAAUGGAACAAAUUCUAUCCCUCGCCUAUUCAAUGAAUAAUCUCGGCGCACGUAGAUUAGAACUUCCGGACCUCCUACAGAUCGUCCGCAAGAUGAAGGUAUAGUCUGAUCUCACGGGAAACCGCGAGCAACAUCAAUUGGAGUUCCGACCCGCACGAAUGGCAUAACGAGUUUGCGACUGUCUCAACGUGGGACUCGGCGAAAUUGCAAGUGGGGUGAAGAUGCCCUGUACGCGCAGUCAGACGAAAAGACCCCGUGAAGCUUUACUACAACUUGGUAUUGGCUUUCGGCUUCGCAUGUUCAGUGUAGGUGGGAGCCUUCGGGCGCCAAUGAGACACCACCCUUGCGAUUCCGGAAGUCUCAUCACCGUCCGUGAAACCGGAUGGCGAGACAGUAUCUGGUGGGUAGUUUGACUGGGGCGGUCGCCUCCUAAAAGGUAACGGAGGCGUUCACAAAGGUCGGCUAGGCGCGGAUGGAAAUCGCGCCGAUACUGUAAAGGGAAAAGCCGGCUUAACUGCAAGACCCACAAGUCGAGCAGAUGCGAAAGCAGGACUUAGUGAUCCGACCGUACGAAAUCGGACGGCGGAAGCUCAACGGAUAAAAGCUACUCCGGGGAUAACAGGCUGAUCUGGUCCAAGAGUCCAUAUCGACGACCAGGUUUGGCACCUCGAUGUCGGCUCAUCGCAUCCUGGGGCUGGAGAAGGUCCCAAGGGUUAGGCUGUUCGCCUAUUAAAGCGGUACGCGAGCUGGGUUCAGAACGUCGUGAGACAGUUCGGUCUCCUGUCUACUGCGCGCGUGGAAUUUUGAGGGGGCUGUUCCUUAGUACGAGAGGACCGGGAACAACGAACCUCUAGUGCACCUGCUGUUCUACCAAGGGCACCGCAGGGUAGCUACGUUCGGCACGGAUAAACGCUGAAAGCAUCUAAGCGUGAAGCCGUCCCCAAGAUUAGAAUUCAGUAAGGGCCCUCCGAGACGAGGAGGUUGAUAGGCCAUAGGUGUACGGCGCGAGAGCGCUUGAGCCAAGUGGUACUAAUAGCCCGUUGCCUCGGCCUU
rfam:Candidatus Thrbacteria bacterium RIFCSPHIGHO2_12_FTLL_60_25 rifcsphigho2_12_scaffold_3475, whole genome shotgun sequence.